rnacentral:rRNA from 1 species
AAGCGUGCGCAGGCGGUUUUGUAAGACUGUCGUGAAAUCCCCGGGCUCAACCUGGGAAUGGCGAUGGUGACUGCAAGGCUAGAGUUUGGCAGAGGGGGGUAGAAUUCCACGUGUAGCAGUGAAAUGCGUAGAUAUGUGGAGGAACACCGAUGGCGAAGGCAGCCCCCUGGGUCAAAACUGACGCUCAUGCACGAAAGCGUGGGGAGCAAACAGGAUUAGAUACCCCGGGU